AGAGUUUGAUCAUGGCUCAGGACGAACGCUGGCGGCGUGCUUAACACAUGCAAGUCGAACGGAAAGGCCCUGCUUUUGUGGGGUGCUCGAGUGGCGAACGGGUGAGUAACACGUGAGUAACCUGCCCUUGACUUUGGGAUAACUUCAGGAAACUGGGGCUAAUACCGGAUAGGAGCUCCUGCUGCAUGGUGGGGGUUGGAAAGUUUCGGCGGUUGGGGAUGGACUCGCGGCUUAUCAGCUUGUUGGUGGGGUAGUGGCUUACCAAGGCUUUGCCGGGUAGCCGGCCUGAGAGGGUGACCGGCCCCAUUGGGACCGAGAUACGGCCCAGACUCUUACGGGAGGCUGCAAGGGCGUCUUUUUCCGGGAUCCAUCUCUCUCCCGGCCUCCCGAUCCUCCUUCUCGUCGUUGUAUACAAUGCAGAGAUUCUAGUGGCCAUUGAUUACCGAGAUUCAAA
rnacentral:rRNA from 1 species